AGUCGAGCGAAUGGAUUGAGAGCUUGCUCUCAUGAAGUUAGCGGCGGACGGGUGAGUAACACGUGGGUAACCUGCCCAUAAGACUGGGAUAACUCCGGGAAACCGGGGCUAAUACCGGAUAANAUUUUGAACUGCAUGGUUCGAAAUUGAAAGGCGGCUUCGGCUGUCACUUAUGGAUGGACCCGCGUCGCAUUAGCUAGUUGGUGAGGUAACGGCUCACCAAGGCAACGAUGCGUAGCCGACCUGAGAGGGUGAUCGGCCACACUGGGACUGAGACACGGNCCCAGACUCNUACGGGAGGCAGCAGUAGGGAAUCUUCCGCAAUGGACGAAAGUCUGACGGAGCAACGCCGCGUGAGUGAUGAAGGCUUUCGGGUCGUAAAACUCUGUUGUUAGGGAAGAACAAGUGCUAGUUGAAUAAGCUGGCACCUUGACGGUACCUAACCAGAAAGCCACGGCUAACUACGUGCCAGCAGCCGCGGUAAUACGUAGGUGGCAAGCGUUAUCCGGAAUUAUUGGGCGUAAAGCGCGCGCAGGUGGUUUCUUAAGUCUGAUGUGAAAGCCCACGGCUCNACCGUGGAGGGUCAUUGGGAAACUGGGNAGACUUGAGUGCAGAAGAGGAAAGUGGAAUUCCAUGUGUAGCGGUGAAAUGCGUAGAGAUAUGGAGGAACACCAGUGGCGAAGGCGACUUUCUGGUCUGUAACUGACACUGAGGCGCGAAAGCGUGGGGAGCAAACAGGAUUAGAUACCCUGGUAGUCCAC
rnacentral:rRNA from 1 species